rnacentral:rRNA from 1 species
GAUGAACGCUGGCGGCGUGCCUAGUACAUGCAAGUCGAGCGAACAGACGAGGAGCUUGCUCCUUUGACGUUAGCGGCGGACGGGUGAGUAACACGUGGGUAACCUACCUAUAAGACUGGGAUAACUUCGGGAAACCGGAGCUAAUACCGGAUAAUAUUUCGAACCGCAUGGUUCGAUAGUGAAAGAUGGCUUUGCUAUCACUUAUAGAUGGACCUGCGCCGUAUUAGCUAGUUGGUAAGGUAACGGCUUACCAAGGCAACGAUACGUAGCCGACCUGAGAGGGUGAUCGGCCACACUGGAACUGAGACACGGUCCAGACUCCUGCGGGAGGCAGCAGUAGGGAAUCUUCCGCAAUGGGCGAAAGCCUGACGGAGCAACGCCGCGUGAGUGAUGAAGGUCUUCGGAUCGUAAAACUCUGUUAUUAGGGAAGAACAAACGUGUAAGUAACUGUGCACGUCUUGACGGUACCUAAUCAGAAAGCCACGGCUAACUACGUG